AUGCCUUUGCCACAAAAUUCUGUUCUUGAGGCUAAAGAUCUGCCAAGGGCCAUGCUUAGCGAUCAUAUAGAAGAACAACUCUUUAAACGGCUCAAUGAAGAGAAACACGAACGGGCUAUUCAUGAUGGGAAAAGUUUUGAUAAGGUUAGUGCUGCCUCAUCAAUUUACAGAAUCUUACAUUUAUGGAUCCUAUGUUUCCUUUUUCUUGGUUAUAUCUUGGUUUCCUUUUCUAAAUAUGAAAUAUGUGGUUUGUGUACUUCUUAUAAACAGAGAUGUGUUGCUCCUUCUGCAUACUUUUAA
rnacentral:rRNA from 1 species